AGUGAACGCUGGCGGUAGGCCUAACACAUGCAAGUCGAACGGCAGCACAGUAAGAGCUUGCUCUUACGGGUGGCGAGUGGCGGACGGGUGAGGAAUACAUCGGAAUCUACUUUUUCGGGGGGGAGAACGUAGGGAAACUUACGCUAAUACCGCAUACGACCUACGGGUGAAAGCAGGGGAUCUUCGGACCUUGCGCGAGUGAAUGAGCCGAUGUCGGAUUAGCUAGUUGGCGGGGUAAAGGCCCACCAAGGCGACGAUCCGUAGCUGGUCUGAGAGGAUGAUCCGCCACACUGGAACUGAGACACGGUCCAGACUCCUACGGGAGGCAGCAGUGGGGAAUAUUGGACAAUGGGCGCAAGCCUGAUCCAGCCCUACCGCGUGGGUGCAGAAGGCCUUCGGGUUGUAAAGCCCUUUUGUUGGGAAAGAAAAGCAGCAGGUUAAUACCCCGCUGUUCUGACGGUACCCAAAGAAUAAGCACCGGCUAACUUCGUG
rnacentral:rRNA from 1 species